GACGAACGCUGGCGGCGUGCUUAACACAUGCAAGUCGAACGGAAAGGCCCUGCUUUUGUGGGGUGCUCGAGUAGCGAACGGGUGAGUAACACGUGAGUAACCUGCCCUUGACUUUGGGAUAACUUCAGGAAACUGGGGCUAAUACCGGAUAGGAGCUCCUGCUGCACGGUGGGGGUUGGAAAGUUUCGGCGGUUGGGGAUGGACUCGCGGCUUAUCAGCUUGUUGGUGGGGUAGUGGCUUACCAAGGCUUUGACGGGUAGCCGGCCUGAGAGGGUGACCGGCCACAUUGGGACUGAGAUACGGCCCAGACUCCUACGGGAGGCAGCAGUGGGGAAUAUUGCACAAUGGGCGGAAGCCUGAUGCAGCAACGCCGCGUGCGGGAUGACGGCCUUCGGGUUGUAAACCGCUUUCGCCUGUGACGAAGCGUGAGUGACGGUAAUGGGUAAAGAAGCACCGGCUAACUACGUGCCAGCAGCCGCGGUGAUACGUAGGGUGCGAGCGUUGUCCGGAUUUAUUGGGCGUAGAGGGCUCGUAGGUGGUUGAUCGCGUCGGAAGUGUAAUCUUGGGGCUUAACCCUGAGCGUGCUUUCGAUACGGGUUGACUUGAGGAAGGUAGGGGAGAAUGGAAUUCCUGGUGGAGCGGUGGAAUGCGCAGAUAUCAGGAGGAACACCAGUGGCGAAGGCGGUUCUCUGGGCCUUUCCUGACGCUGAGGAGCGAAAGCGUGGGGAGCGAACAGGCUUAGAUACCCUGGUAGUCCACGCUGUAAACGGUGGGUACUAGGUGUGGGGUCCAUUCCACGGGUUCCGUGCCGUAGCUAACGCUUUAAGUACCCCGCCUGGGGAGUACGGCCGCAAGGCUAAAACUCAAAGGAAUUGACGGGGCCCCGCACAAGCGGCGGAGCAUGCGGAUUAAUUCGAUGCAACGCGUAGAACCUUACCUGGGUUUGACAUGGAUCGGGAGCGCUCAGAGAUGGGUGUGCCUCUUUUGGGGUCGGUUCACAGGUGGUGCAUGGCUGUCGUCAGCUCGUGUCGUGAGAUGUUGGGUUAAGUCCCGCAACGAGCGCAACCCUUGUUCACUGUUGCCAGCACGUUAUGGUGGGGACUCAGUGGAGACCGCCGGGGUCAACUCGGAGGAAGGUGGGGAUGACGUCAAGUCAUCAUGCCCCUUAUGUCCAGGGCUUCACGCAUGCUACAAUGGCUGGUACAGAGAGUGGCGAGCCUGUGAGGGUGAGCGAAUCUCGGAAAGCCGGUCUCAGUUCGGAUUGGGGUCUGCAACUCGACCUCAUGAAGUCGGAGUCGCUAGUAAUCGCAGAUCAGCAACGCUGCGGUGAAUACGUUCCCGGG
rnacentral:rRNA from 1 species